AUGCCAGAUCCAAUCCUCCUCCCUCCCUCCUCGCCCCAGCUCGCUGCUCCCCUCCCCUUCCAGAUCGCCGCCACCACCUCCCUCCUCCUCCCUCGCCCCGGCUCCCUGCUCCGCCUCGAUGGGCUGGUGCACCGCCAUGACCGCAACGAGCCCAAUCCCAUCGCCGAAUCUCGGAACAUCGCCACGGCUUCCUACUCCGCGGCGGCCGAGGCGGCGCGGGAGCUGCAGGACGCGGUGGCGGCCCUCGCCGUGCGUCGCGCCGCCGACGAGGACGCGCUGCGGUGCCGCGCCGUCGCGCUGGACGCCGACGUCCGCCGCCUACAGGGCUCCCUCGCCCCCCUCGACCCCGCCGCGCUCGAGUUAGUGCCUCCAAUGUGGUCGACGGCGAGUGCAUCGGGGAUUCGGGGUCGUCUUCAAGAAGGACAAGACUAG
rnacentral:rRNA from 1 species